rnacentral:rRNA from 1 species
GAUGAACGCUGGCGGCGUGCCUAAUACAUGCAAGUCGAGCGAAUGGAUUAAGAGCUUGCUCUUAUGAAGUUAGCGGCGGACGGGUGAGUAACACGUGGGUAACCUGCCCCUAAGACUGGGAUAAAUCCGGGAAACCGGGGCUAAUACCGGAUAACAUUUUGAACCGCAUGGUUCGAAAUUGAAAGGCGGCUUCGGCUGUCACUUAUGGAUGGACUCGCGUCGCAUUAGCUAGUUGGUGAGGUAACGGCUCACCAAGGCAACGAUGCGUAGCCGACCUGAGAGGGUGAUCGGCCACACUGGGACUGAGACACGGCCCAGACUCCUACGGGAGGCAGCAGUAGGGAAUCUUCCGCAAUGGACGAAAGUCUGACGGAGCAACGCCGCGUGAGUGAUGAAGGCUUUCGGGUCGUAAAACUCUGUUGUUAGGGAAGAACAAGUGCUAGUUGAAUAAGCUGGCACCUUGACGGUACCUAACCAGAAAGCCACGGCUAACUACGUGCCAGCCGCCGCGGUAA